GCUGGUGCUGCGCGGCUCAGCUCCCCGGCCCUUCUGUACUCUCAGGUCCUGCGUGCGGGUCCCCUCCGUCCCCUCCCCGUCACAGCGCCGCGCCGCACUCCUUUCCUUCAUUCCCAUACCACUCUCUGAACUUGUGCGCAUCGUGUGAGGUGUUCUCCAGGGGCGCAACGUGAGGGCUGGGGGCGACCUGGGGCCGGGUUGCUCACGGGCCGACCACAGUGCACUCUCCCUUUAGUUGUGUUUGGGGGACGAGUAUCGCGGGGAGGGGAGGGCGUCGCCUUGCCCUCCGGAACCCCCCCCCGCUGAGUCGUCCGCCUUGCACCUGUCUCGGCGCCCAGGGUUCGGACGUUUGCCCGAGCCGUUUCCCGGGGCCUUCCCUCCUGCUCCGAGCGUCUGGCCGUGUCCACGGCGAUCCCAUCGCCCCAGUUACGGCCUCUGCGGGAGGGGGAGCCGAGGGGACUACGCGGGCUCCGGAAACGUUUCGGACUCGUUUCGGGCAGGCCUGAGUCUUCCGAGCGCCUUGUGCUUCCUCGGGGGACUCAACGUCGAAUGAAAGGCGAGGGGGACUCUGGGGCCUGGGCCACGCUGUGCGGGAGUAAGAGGAGGCGAGGAUGAGGCCGACGGCCGUGAAACGAGCCGAGCGCCACAAUGGACCUUCCCCUCACCGCCUCUGGCUCCGGCUCUGCGAGGGCGCGCGGGCGCAGCUCCUCUCCCAACUCUUGUUUGCUCUCUCUGGCCAGCGACCCCAGUGUGGGGCACGCGGGAGAACCACAUUUCUUCUAGUCAGUCCCGCCGGCGUGGGAUGGUCCCUGACCGUGCAACGGGCGCAAGGCUCGCACCCACUACGGCCCCUCGAGCGGUGGAGCGAGGCUCCGCGAACCCGGGACCGGGCGCGCCAGGCCCGCGCGCUGAGGCCCCCUGCCCCGGCUCUGGCCACGCGGGCUGCUCUGCCUCUUUGUGACUGUGCGGGACACAGAACCAGGGAUAGGGAGGGUCGUCUUCUGCGGUCACAGGCGGACAGGAGUGCCGGAAGAUGCAGUUCGGAGCCCCCGGGGGACUAUGAGUGAGGUCUUCUCCCCGGUCCCUCCUUAGAUCGCCCAUUCCCCAGUUCUCCCCUCCCGCCCCCACCUUUUUGGUCACGCCAGACGGUUCCGGCCCAGCAGCAGCCGCCAACCCCACGUUGGGUGGCGAGAUCCGAAAGUUUCCAGUUUGCUUUUUUUUUUCUUGAUCGCUUUUUUUGGCAAGGGCGGAGAGCACCGGUAGCGUGGGGGGUUUAAAUGCGCUUUCCCUGAAUGCAACAGAAACAAGCCGGGCUGGAGGGCAAACUCCACCGGGACAGGGAGGCGGGAGGGAGCCUGAGUGCCCCCCAUCCCCCACACUUCUGAGCGCCACAACCCCGGGGGCACCUCCAGGGACUACUUGCUUUGUGCGUCAGCGAGUGACAGCGUCACACACACGCCCCCUCCCGCACAGCCCCGCUGCACC
rnacentral:lncRNA from 1 species